rnacentral:rRNA from 1 species
UGAAGUGGGAAGAGCUCAAAUUUGAAAUCUGGCAGUUCUCUGGCUGUCUGAGUUGUAAUCUAGAGAAGUGUUACCUGCGCUGGACCGUGUACAAGUCUCCUGGAACGGAGCGUCAUAGAGGGUGAGAAUCCCGUCUCUGACAUGGACUACCAGGGCUUUGUGGUAUGCUCUCGAAGAGUCGAGUUGUUUGGGAAUGCAGCUCAAAAUGGGUGGUAAACUCCAUCUAAAGCUAAAUACUGGCGAGAGACCGAUAGUGAACAAGUACCGUGAGGGAAAGAUGAAAAGAACUUUGGAAAGAGAGUUAAAUAGUACGUGAAAUUGCUGAAAGGGAAACGCUUGAAGUCAGUCGCGUUGGCUGGGGAUCAGCCUCACUCAUUUGUGUGGUGUAUUUCCCAGUUGACGGGUCAGCAUCAAUUUUGACCACUGGAGAAAGGCUUGAGGAAUGUGGCAGCCUUGGCUGUGUUAUAGCUUCUUGUCAGAUACGGUGGUUGAGAUUGAGGUGUGCAGCACGCCGCAAGGCCGGGGCUUUUAAACCCACGUCCGUGCUUAGGAUGUUGACAUAAUGGCUUUAAGCGACCCGUCUUGAAACACGGACCAAGGAGUCUAACAUGCCUGCGAGUGUUUGGGUGGAAAACCCGUGCGCGCAAUGAAAGUGAAAGUUGAGAUCCCUGUCGUGGGGAGCAUCGACGCCCGGACCUGAACUUUUGGGAUGGAUCUGCGGUAGAGCAUGUAUGUUGGGACCCGAAAGAUGGUGAACUAUGCCUGAAUAGGGCGAAGCCAGAGGAAACUCUGGUGGAGGCUCGUAGCGAUUCUGA